GUUCUUAUAGCUUAGUGGUAAAGCACUAAAUUGAAGCUUUAGCUACAUUGGUUCGAUUCCUUUUAAGAACA
rnacentral:tRNA from 1 species